rnacentral:lncRNA from 1 species
AGUUAACAAAUAAUUAUUUUCUGAAGUGUCAAGAUAAAUUUGAAGGAGAAGAAUUAGAAGUAUGUGUUCAACCCACCAUCUUGGCUGGAACUCUCAGUGUUAUAUUUCUGAAUCUUGGGAUACUUCAGAGAACAAUUCUCAAACAACUUCUUCAAACUGACAGCCUUCAAGGAACUAUGCAGGAUAGAUGGGUGGCCAAAUGACAAGCUUGGAAAGCUACAAGGGAAUGCUACCUGCUCCUCUCCGUCCAUUCUUUGCUCUCUACUCUGAACUCCAUGUCUUCCACCAAGGUUCACUUCACCACUGUGUCAUUAAAAUGUUCAGUACCAAUAUGCAGACUGUCCGCAAUGAUAGGUAUAAACUGUUCAAGAAGACACCCAUUUCUAGCAAAAUUUCUGACUCCUUUCAAAAUAAAA